rnacentral:lncRNA from 1 species
UGAAAUGAUUCAAAGGUGAAAGUGAAGUAUUGAUGCAAAGCAUGGGUAAAAGGUGAAAGUGAAGUAAUGAUGCAAAGCAUGGGUAAAAUGGAGUGGUGUUGAAAUGAUUUGAAGGUGAAAGUGAAUUGAUUGAAGGGAAAUUUAUGAGAUUUCUAGAAUGGGAUUUCAAAUAGACUAUCAUGCAUAUUCAAAUCAAAUUUAAUAUACGAAAGCAGCGGAAGCAUUUAAAACAUAUUAUCAAAGCUAUAGUCAUGCAAAUCCCCUUCAAGGUUCAUAGGUUUAUAUAUAAUGCAUCAAAACAUUUUAAAGAAUCAAGAACAAAGAGAAGGUUAGUCUUAUACCUCUUGAUCUAGACUUGAGACCAAGGAUGGACCACCUCCAAGCCCUUUGCUCC